rnacentral:rRNA from 1 species
GGGGGGGGGGGGGGGGGGGGGGAGGGCAGGGAAGGCGAGGGGAAGGGCGCCGGGGGGGGGGCGGGAGGGGCGGAGGGGGGAGUAACACGUGAGGAACCUGCCCUUGACGUCGGGAGAACGUCAGGAAACGGGGGCGAAUCCGGGAUAGGCAUCCGUGCUGCAUGGGGGGGGGUGGAAAGCUUCGGCGGGUUUGGCUGGGCUCGCGGCGUAUCAGCUUGUUGGUGGGGGCGUGGCUUACCAAGGCUUUGACGGGUAGGCGGCCUGAGCGGGCGACCGGCCACCUUGGGACUGGUAUACGGCCCCGGCUCCUACGGGAGGCCGCAGUGGGGAAUAUUGCACAAUGGGCGGCAGCCUGAUGCAGGAACGCCCCGUGCGGGAUGACGGGCUUCGGGUUGUAAACCGCUUUCAGCAGGCGCGGAGCUUGUGGUGACGGUACCUGCAGAAGAAGCACCGGCUAACUACGUG